CCUACGGGUGGCAGCAGUGGGGAAUCUUGGGCAAUGGGCGCAAGCCUGACCCAGCAACGCCGCGUGAAGGAAGAAGGCCCUCGGGUUGUAAACUUCUUUUAUUCUGGACGAAACAAAUGACGGUACCGCAUGAAUAAGCCACGGCUAACUACUUGCCAGCAGCCGCGGUAAUACGUAGGUGGCAAGCGUUAUCCGGAUUUACUGGGGGUAAAGGGCGUGUAGGCGGGGGAGGAAGUCCGACGUGAAAUUCCAGGGCUCAACCCGGGAACUGCGUUUGAAACUGUGCGUCUUGAGUGAUGGAGAGGCAGGCGGAAUUCCAGGGGUAGCGGGGAAAGGCGUAGAUAGACGGAGGAACACCAGUGGCGAAGGCGGCCUGCUGGACAUUAACUGACGCUGAGGCGCGAAAGCGUGGGGAGCAAACAGGAUUAGAUACCCCGGUAGUC
rnacentral:rRNA from 1 species